GACGAACGCUGGCGGCGUGCUUAACACAUGCAAGUCGAACGGAAAGGCCCUGCUUUUGUGGGGUGCUCGAGUGGCGAACGGGUGAGUAACAUGUGAGUAACCUGCCUUUGACUUUGGGAUAACUUCAGGAAACUGGGGCUAAUACCGGAUAGGAGCUCCUGCUGCAUGGUGGGGGUUGGAAAGUUUCGGCGGUUGGGGAUGGACUCGCGGCUUAUCAGCUUGUUGGUGGGGUAGUGGCUUACCAAGGCUUUGACGGGUAGCCGGCCUGAGAGGGUGACCGGCCACAUUGGGACUGAGAUACGGCCCAGACUCCUACGGGAGGCAGCAGUGGGGAAUAUUGCACAAUGGGCGGAAGCCUGAUGCAGCAACGCCGCGUGCGGGAUGACGGCCUUCGGGUUGUAAACCGCUUUCGCCUGUGACGAAGCGUGAGUGACGGUAAUGGGUAAAGAAGCACCGGCUAACUACGUG
rnacentral:rRNA from 1 species